rnacentral:rRNA from 1 species
UGAGGAAUCUUGCGCAAUGGGGGAAACCCUGACGCAGCAACGCCGCGUGAGUGAAGAAGGCCUUCGGGUCGUAAAGCUCUGUCAGAUGGGAAGAAAUGGAUGGGGGCUAAUAUCGUCCAUCCUUGACGGUACCGUCAGAGGAAGCACCGGCUAACUCCGUGCCAGCAGCCGCGGUAAUACGGGGGGUGCAAGCGUUGUUCGGAAUCAUUGGGCGUAAAGAGCGUGUAGGCGGCUUGAUAAGUCAGAUGUGAAAGCCCUAGGCUCAACCUGGGAAGUGCAUUUGAAACUGUCAUGCUUGAGUAGGGGAGAGGGAAGUGGAAUUCCUGGUGUAGAGGUGAAAUGCGUAGAUAUGCGGAGGAACACCAGUGGCGAAAGCGGCCUCCUGGCCCAUUUCUGACGCUCAGACACGAAAGCUAAGGUAGCAAACA